GCCUUCUUAGCUUAGUCGGUAGAGCACCCGCUUAGUAAGCGGGAGGUCGUCGGUUCGACUCCGGCAGAAGGCU
rnacentral:tRNA from 1 species